UGGUAGCAGGAAAAGCUACUACUAGCUAGGUAUCAUGCCAUCACUGAGUUCAUAGUCCUCUUAGUGAUGUGUUGAAAAAUGAGAACUACAGGAGACUGUGCAGUUGAGGAACAGAAGGCUCAAAUCUGGGCAGAAAGAGAAUCACAUCCUGGACAGAUUUCCCCUCUGGCUCUUUACACAACUGUCUCAUUUUACUUGGACUUUUGGAAAU